AUAUGAUAAUUAUAUGUAUUAUUUUGAUUUUUG
rnacentral:sRNA from 1 species